GAUGAACGCUGGCGGCGUGUCUAAGGCAUGCAAGUCGAACGGACUGUUAUUUGUAGCAAUACUUAGAACAGUUAGUGGCAAACGGGUGCGUAACACAUUGGUAACCUGCCUCAAAGUCGGGCAUAAUCCCGCGAAAGUGGGACUAAUUCCACGAUAGUCAUCGAAGGUGAGAUUCCUUCGAUGUAAAGUCGCAAGACGCCUUGAGAGGGGCCUAUGGCCUAUCAGCUUGUUGGUGAGGUAACGGCUCACCAAGGCUAUGACGGGUAGGGGGUGUGAGAGCACGACCCCCCUCACUGGGACUGAGACACUGCCCAGACACCUACGGGUGGCUGCAGUCGAGAAUAUUCCCCAAUGGCCGAAAGGCUGAGGGAGCGACGCCGCGUGCA
rnacentral:rRNA from 1 species